GACGAACGCUGGCGGCGUGCUUAACACAUGCAAGUCGAACGGAAAGGCCCUGCUUUUGUGGGGUGCUCGAGUGGCGAACGGGUGAGUAACACGUGAGUAACCUGCCCUUGACUUUGGGAUAACUUCAGGAAACUGGGGCUAAUACCGGAUAGGAGCUCCUGCUGCAUGGUGGGGGUUGGAAAGUUUCGGCGGUUGGGGAUGGACUCGCGGCUUAUCAGCUUGUUGGUGGGGUAGUGGCUUACCAAGGCUUUGACGGGUAGCCGGCCUGAGAGGGUGACCGGCCACAUUGGGACUGAGAUACGGCCCAGACUCCUACGGGAGGCAGCAGUGGGGAAUAUUGCACAAUGGGCGGAAGCCUGAUGCAGCAACGCCGCGUGCGGGAUGACGGCCUUCGGGUUGUAAACCGCUUUCGCCUGUGACGAAGCGUGAGUGACGAUAACGGGUAAAGAAGCACCGGCUAACUACGUG
rnacentral:rRNA from 1 species